rnacentral:rRNA from 1 species
GAUGAACGCUAGCGGCAGGCUUAAUACAUGCAAGUCGAGGGGCAGCACGGGUAGCAAUAUCUGGUGGCGACCGGCGCACGGGUGCGUAACGCGUAUGCAACCUACUUUCAACUGGGGAAUAGCCCCGAGAAAUCGGGAUUAAUACCCCAUAAUUUUAUGAAAAGGCAUCUUUUUAUAAUUAAAGCUCCGGCGGUUGAAGAUGGGCAUGCGUGACAUUAGCUAGUUGGUGAGGUAACGGCUCACCAAGGCGACGAUGUCUAGGGGUUCUGAGAGGAUUAUCCCCCACACUGGUACUGAGACACGGACCAGACUCCUACGGGAGGCAGCAGUAAGGAAUAUUGGGCAAUGGGCGAAAGCCUGACCCAGCCAUGCCGCGUGCAGGAUGACGGCCCUAUGGGUUGUAAACUGCUUUUAUACGGGAAAAAACCUUCGGUCGUGAACCGGAGCUGAUGGUACCGUAAGAAUAAGGAUCGGCUAACUCCGUGCCAGCCGCCGCGGUAACAC